GACGAACGCUGGCGGCACGCUUAACACAUGCAAGUCGAACGGUGAAAAGAAGCUUGCUUCUUGGAUCAGUGGCGGACGGGUGAGUAACACGUGAGCAACCUGCCUUUAAGAGGGGGAUAACGUCCGGAAACGGACGCUAAUACCGCAUAACAUAUGGGAUUCGCAUGUUUUCCAUAUCAAAGAUUUAUCGCUUAAAGAUGGGCUCGCGUCUGAUUAGCUAGUUGGUGAGGUAACGGCUCACCAAGGCGACGAUCAGUAGCCGGACUGAGAGGUUGAACGGCCACAUUGGGACUGAGACACGGCCCAGACUCCUACGGGAGGCAGCAGUGGGGAAUAUUGCACAAUGGGCGCAAGCCUGAUGCAGCGAUGCCGCGUGAGGGAAGAAGGUUUUCGGAUUGUAAACUCCUGUCUUAAAGGACGAUAAUGACGGUACUUUAGGAGGAAGCUCCGGCUAACUACGUG
rnacentral:rRNA from 1 species